rnacentral:lncRNA from 1 species
AGAAAUAUGUCAUGAAGCUGUUAUCAAUAGUCCUGGCUCAAACCAAGAUAGCAUGAGAGUCUCAAGGCUGUGGGCUCCCUGGCUAGGUUCUCAAUAAAGAUUGCCUCUACAGGCCUCAGUGGCAACCCCGUCAGGACCCCUCUCACUCCUGAGAGCUUUCUCUGUGCCUUUUCUUAAUAAACUUCUAUCUCUUCACUCACUCUCUGUUGUGCUCCACAUUCGUUCUUCUGUUCCAUGAGACAAGAACCAAGCUCUCCUGUAUCACCUCUGUUUGGCGAUUUGCAAAAACAAUCUUACGCUAUAAAACGAGAAAAGAGCUCGCUGUGUUCCUUCCUCUUGAGGACAUUUUAUUUCCUGAAGUAGAAAGAACAUUUCAACUAACACAGAGCUUGGUAUUGAGCUGUACUUUUUGGAGGAUGUCAAUCAUAAAGGAAAAGUCUUUGCUUCCAGUUGCUGUGGUAAGUCUCCUGCUGUUUUGCCCUUUCCUCCACACAGACGCAGUUGGCUCCCAUUAUCUGCUCUUUCCGUUUUAUCAGUUUUCUGGUGUUUGGCACCUCCUAUCUGCCUCCACCCCUCCAACCCCUGCUAAUCUCUGUUUCUCUGCCCAGAUUGUAGAGGACCUUCAGUCCUACAUCGGGAAAGUCAGAUCUGUAGACUGA